GCCCCCUUAGCUCAGUUGGAUAGAGCACUGGCCCCCGGAGCCAGGUGCAGGCGUUCAAAUCGCCUAGGGGGUA
rnacentral:tRNA from 1 species